CCUACGGGUGGCUGCAGUGGGGAAUAUUGGACAAUGGGCGAAAGCCUGAUCCAGCCAUGCCGCGUGUGUGAAGAAGGCCUUCGGGUUGUAAAGCACUUUCAGUGGGGAAGAAAGCCUUGGGGCUAAUACCCUCGAGGAAGGACAUCACCCACAGAAGAAGCACCGGCUAACUCCGUGUCAGCAGCCGCGGUAAUACGGAGGGUGCGAGCGUUAAUCGGAAUUACUGGGCGUAAAGCGCGCGUAGGCGGUCUGAUAAGCCGGUUGUGAAAGCCCCGGGCUCAACCUGGGAACGGCAUCCGGAACUGUCAGGCUAGAGUGCAGGAGAGGAAGGUAGAAUUCCCGGUGUAGCGGUGAAAUGCGUAGAGAUCGGGAGGAAUACCAGUGGCGAAGGCGGCCUUCUGGACUGACACUGACGCUGAGGUGCGAAAGCGUGGGUAGCAAACAGGAUUAGAUACCCGGGUAGUC
rnacentral:rRNA from 1 species